rnacentral:rRNA from 1 species
AGAGUUUGAUCCUGGCUCAGAAUCAACGCUGGCGGCGUGCUAACACAUGCAAGUCGAACGAGAAAGUGGAGCAAUCCAUGAGUAAAGUGGCGCACGGGUGAGUAACACGUGACUAACCUACCCUUGAGUGGGGAAUAACUUCGGGAAACCGAGGCUAAUACCGCAUAACACCUACGGGUCAAAGGAGCAAUUCGCUUAAGGAGGGGGUCGCGGCAGAUUAGUUAGUUGGCGGGGUAAUGGCCCACCAAGACGGUGAUCUGUAUCCGGCCUGAGAGGGCGCACGGACACACUGGAACUGAAACACGGUCCAGACUCCUACGGGAGGCAGCAGUGGGGAAUUUUGCGCAAUGGGGGAAACCCUGACGCAGCAACGCCGCGUGGAGGAUGAAGUCCCUUGGGACGUAAACUCCUUUCGAUCGGGACGAUUAUGACGGUACCGGAAGAAGAAGCCCCGGCUAACUUCGUGCCAGCAGCCGCGGUAAUACGAGGGGGGCGAGCGUUGUUCGGAAUUAUUGGGCGUAAAGGGCGCGUAGGCGGUUGGAUAAGUCUCGUGUGAAAUCUUCGGGCUCAACUCGAAGUCUGCACGAGAAACUAUCCGGCUAGAGUGUGGGAGAGGUGAGUGGAAUUCCUGGUGUAGCGGUGAAAUGCGUAGAUAUCAGGAGGAACACCUGUGGCGAAAGCGGCUCACUGGACCACAACUGACGCUGAGGCGCGAAAGCUAGGGGAGCAAACAGGAUUAGAUACCCUGGUAGUCCUAGCCCUAAACGAUGAUCGCUUGGUGUGACGGGUACCCAAUCCCGCCGUGCCGAAGCUAACGCGUUAAGCGAUCCGCCUGGGGAGUACGGUCGCAAGGCUGAAACUUAAAGGAAUGACGG